GGACUACACGGGUUUCUAAUCCUUUUUGCUCCCCAUACUUUCGAGCCUGAGCGUCGGAUCUCGUCCAGCUAGCUGCCUUCGCCGUUGGUGUUCCUCCCGAUAUCUACGCAUUUCACUGCUCCACCGGGAAUUCCACUAGCCCCUCCGAGUCCCUAGACCGACAGUUUCGGGCGCAGUCCCGGGGUUGAGCCCCGGGGUUUCACACCCGACACAUCGGUCCGCCUGCGCUCCCUUUACGCCCAGUGAUUCCGAGUAACGCUUGCAGUCUCUGUAUUACCGCGGCUGCUGGCAC
rnacentral:rRNA from 2 species